UAAAUAAAAUUAUAUAUUAUUAUAUAAUUAAUUUAAUUUACAGAUAAUAUGAUAAGCUGACUCUAACGUAUUUAAACUUGUAUGCCUAAUUUUCUUUCUCGUUCGGUAAAAGUUGUGGGUCAGAGCUUUCAUUGUUUUUAACCGAUUCAAAAACAAUAAUCCAAUAAAAUAAAAUACAUCAAACAUCUUAUGUGAAAGGAAAGAAAUAACAAAUAACAGAAUUUCGAAGGGAUUCUUUUCUUAUUUUCUUAUUUAUAUUUCUCAAUUUUCACACAUUCAAUGAUUAUAUCAGCAACUGUUGUAGCCCACUGAUUUUGUUUUUCUUUGAUAAGUCGUUGGUUUUUCUCUUUUUCUAAGCAUUUUACAUGAAGCUCUUCCAUCUUUACGAAUUGAUUAAGUAGAUCUACUGCUUUCAACUAACAACUGGAAAUAUAUAUUUUUUAUAUCGUUUAAACAUCAGUGAAACUUACUUCUGUCUCAUUUUCGUUUGCUUUUUUUUUUUUUUCUUUUUUCAUUAUAAAGGAUGUUGCAUGUCAGUUGUUGCUAGUUUAAUUCUAUAUAAUAGACCAAAAUAACCUAAUUGUUAUUAUUUAGUAAAAUAAUAUUUUAAUUGAUUUUCAAUUUGGUUUAAUUUUAUGAUUUACUCUAAUUUGGUUCAGUUUAAUUUUCGUUUGCAUAGAACUUAAUUUUGUUUAGUUCAUUCUUAGAAAAAUCUUAGUUGAUGUGGUAGAGUUUAUUUGAUUGGAUUUUGAACUGAAUCAACCAAGCCGGUCUAUGCAUUUGCCUUGACAACCUUAUUUAAAGUUCUCUAUCCAAUGUCGGUCCUAAAAAAAAAACCUAAGAAACUUGCGAAGCGCGCACCUCAAGUACCUUGCCUAUGUGAACUGAACAAACUCACAAAGACAAAGCACAACCAGCUAUUGUUUAGUUUCGGUCAUUCCAAGCAAAAUCCAAUUUGGGUUUCUGAUGGAAGAUAUUGCCCACGUUAUAUACCAAGUUGACACGUAAUUCUACUCUAAAAGAUUUAUAAAUAAAAUAAAAUAAAAUCGUUUCCUCCCAACUCUUCCCCUCCUCUGGUUAAUGCUUUCCUGAACACCUUUUUUCUUGGUUCUUUCAGAGUGACCAAAGAAGGCGAAGCCACUUUUGCAUCUCCGCCCUGUAGAUAAAAUAGAACUCGAAUAGUUGUCCGAUAAAGGAAGGCAAUGAAGGAUGUUCAUUCAACAAAGGAUGAAUGUCAAUGGGCAACAAUCGGAUUAAAUCCGCAGCAUGAAGUGCUCUUAAUCUGUCGCCAUCGCCCAUACAUCAACCACCACACUCGACUGUUUUUCAAUCAACUUGUACAGUAUUACUCCAUUACAACAUGUACUGUGGCCCCACAGUUAAUGGAACCAUUUUUUAUUCUUUUACUA